UGGCGAGGGAUUUAUCCAUCUGCUCCACGCGGCUGCUCCUCGUCUGUUUGGGAAACUCGUUCACAUCUGGACCCUGCACGAUGCUGUUGGAUGUUUUAAUCUCCAGGGAACGCGGGACUCAUCUUCCACAACAAAAGAAGCAUCAGAGCCAGUUUGCUGCUGUGACGAACAGCGGAGCCUGUUCCUGUCUUUGGUUAUCUAGCUGUAUGAGUGUUAACGCUCCAUCAUAAAGCUAGAUAACCGAAAGUAGGAAUGACCUCCAAAUCCUCAGAUUCCUGCCUGUGAGAGUCAUAGAGAAAGAAAAAGAAGAAGAAAGAUGAGAAAAGAAAAGCAGCAGGACAUGAUGUCUUCUCAGAAAUGACCAUCAUGACGCUGGCCAUGCUGUUGGCUGCGAGGGAUCGUCAGCUCUCCUGUUCCUGUGCUGUCAACUCUUACAUUCUCAACUCUAAAGCAACGCUGCAGCCUGUCUACAGACAUGCUAAACAUGUGAACAAGUAAUGCCUGGUGAAGAUUUAAAAGUUUACACCGACGACAAGGAAAAUCUUUUGAUACACUGUAUGCAACACAAUAUUUAUGUUAUGUCAAAAACUCUCUAAUUAAAACAAA